UAGAAACUUAGGUUAUUUAAACCGAU
rnacentral:tRNA from 2 species